rnacentral:rRNA from 1 species
AUUGAACGCUGGCGGCAUGCCUUACACAUGCAAGUCGAACGGCAGCGGACCUUCGGGUGCCGGCGAGUGGCGAACGGGUGAGUAAUGUAUCGGAACGUGCCCAGUAGUGGGGGAUAACUACUCGAAAGAGUGGCUAAUACCGCAUGAGAUCUCUGGAUGAAAGCGGGGGGACCGUAAGGCCUCGCGCUACUGGAGCGGCCGAUAUCAGAUUAGGUUGUUGGUGAGGUAAAGGCUCACCAAGCCGACGAUCCGUAGCUGGUCUGAGAGGAUGAUCAGCCACACUGGGACUGAGACACGGCCCAGACUCCUACGGGAGGCAGCAGUGGGGAAUUUUGGACAAUGGGCGCAAGCCUGAUCCAGCCAUGCCGCGUGCGGGAAGAAGGCCUCGG